UACGUAGGGGGCCAGCGUUGUCCGGAAUCAUUGGGCGUAAAGCGCGCGUAGGUGGCCUCAUAAGUCCGCUGUGAAAGUCAAAGGCUCAACCUUUGAAAGCCGGUGGAUACUGUGGGGCUAGAGUACGGAAGAGGCGAGUGGAAUUCCUGGUGUAGCGGUGAAAUGCGUAGAGAUCGGGAGGAAUACCAGUGGCGAAGGCGGCCUUCUGGACUGACACUGACGCUGAGGCGCGAAAGCCAGGGGAGCAAACGGG
rnacentral:rRNA from 1 species